rnacentral:rRNA from 1 species
UACGUAGGGGGCGAGCGUUGUCCGGAUUUAUUGGGCGUAAAGAGCUCGUAGGCGGUUUGUCGCGUCUUCCGUGAAAACUGGGGGCUUAACUUCCAGCUUGCGGUGGAUACGGGCUGACUGGAGUGCGGCAGGGGAGACUGGAAUUCCUGGUGUAGCGGUGAAAUGCGCAGAUAUCAGGAGGAACACCGGUGGCGAAGGCGGGGUCUCUGGGCCGUUACUGACGCUGAAGAGCGAAAGCGUGGGGAGCGAACAGG